rnacentral:rRNA from 1 species
GUGGGGAAUAUUGGGCAAUGGGGGAAACCCUGACCCAGCAACGCCGCGUGAGGGAAGAAGGUUUUCGGAUUGUAAACCUCUGUCCUUGGUGACGAAAAAAAUGACGGUAGCCAAGGAGGAAGCCCCGGCUAACUACGUGCCAGCAGCCGCGGUAAUACGUAGGGGGCAAGCGUUGUCCGGAAUGACUGGGCGUAAAGGGCGUGUAGGCGGCCGAUUAAGUCUGGAGUGAAAGUCCUGCUUUCAAGGUGGGAAUUGCUUUGGAGACUGGUUGGCUUGAGUGCGGAAGAGGUAAGUGGAAUUCCCAGUGUAGCGGUGAAAUGCGUAGAGAUUGGGAGGAACACCAGUGGCGAAGGCGACUUACUGGGCCGUAACUGACGCUGAGGCGCGAAAGCGUGGGGAGCGAACAGGAUUAGAAACCCCUGUAGUCC